CUGGAUAGACAUCUGUGGUGAGCAAAAAACAUAAAAAUAUUUGUGUCCCGUACAAAUGCUCACCAAAGGGUGACCUCAGCAGGGGAGGAUUUUAAUAAUUAAAUAGCUAGG